rnacentral:rRNA from 1 species
GAUGAACGCUGGCGGCGUGCCUAACACAUGCAAGUCGAGCGAUUCUCUUCGGAGAAGAGCGGCGGACGGGUGAGUAACGCGUGGGUAACCUGCCCUGUACACACGGAUAACAUACCGAAAGGUAUGCUAAUACGGGAUAAUAUGCUUUAGUCGCAUGGCUGAAGUAUCAAAGCUCCGGCGGUACAGGAUGGACCCGCGUCUGAUUAGCUAGUUGGUAAGGUAAUGGCUUACCAAGGCGACGAUCAGUAGCCGACCUGAGAGGGUGAUCGGCCACAUUGGAACUGAGACACGGUCCAAACUCCUACGGGAGGCAGCAGUGGGGAAUAUUGCACAAUGGGCGAAAGCCUGAUGCAGCAACGCCGCGUGAGCGAUGAAGGCCUUCGGGUCGUAAAGCUCUGUCUUUGGGGACGAUAAUGACGGUACCCAAGGAGGAAGCCACGGCUAACUACGUGCCAGCAGCCGCCGUAA